UGGGGAAUAUUGCACAAUGGGCGAAAGCCUGAUGCAGCAACGCCGCGUGAGUGAUGAAGGCCUUCGGGUUGUAAAGCUCUGUCUUUUGGGACGAUAAUUGACGGUACCAAAGGAGGAAGCCACGGCUAACUACGUGCCAGCAGCCGCGGUAAUACGUAGGUGGCAAGCGUUGUCCGGAUUUUACUGGGCGUAAAGGAUGCGUAGGCGGAUUUUUAAGUGAGAUGUGAAAACCCUAAGCUUAACUUGGGGACUGCAUUUCAUACUGGAAAUCUAGAGUGCGGGAGAGGAGAAUGGAAUUCCUAGUGUAGCGGUGAAAUGCGUAGAGAUUAGGAAGAACACCAGUGGCGAAGGCGAUUCUCUGGACCGUAACUGACGCUGAGGCAUGAAAGCGUGGGGUUAGCAAACAGGAUUAGAUACCCUGGUAGUCCACGCCGUAAACGAUGAGUACUAGGUGUA
rnacentral:rRNA from 1 species